CAAAUUAUUUCAAGAUUUGUAUGUUCCAAAAAAGGAUAUGUACAUUUGUACAUGUUUGGCGAUUUGUCAAAUGACAUUUUUCUCUGCUAUAUUACCUAAAAUGCGUUAUCUAGUUUCCAACCUAAGAGUAAAUGUUAUCCAGUUUAUUUCCAUGGAUACAGGCCAAAAAUAUAAGCUUUUUGGAUAUCUAUUUUGAAGGGCAACAGUUUGUAAAUUUUUGUUAUAGAUCAAAAAUGUAAACACGGAAGUGUCAUGGUGUGAUUAAAAAUACAUGUUCCGGAUAUGGCCCCGUCAAUUUUCCGCAAUUCUUCAUCUACAUAAGAAUUUGUUUCAGAAAAAAAAUUUGGAUUAUGAGGUUGUAAAAACACGUAAAACAUAUAAAGUAUCAAGAAAAGUAAUGAUAAAUCAAGAAAUCAAAACAAAAAUGCCAAAAAACAUGUACAU
rnacentral:lncRNA from 1 species